AAAUUUAGUUCUCUCUCUCUCUCUCUCUCUCUCUCUCUCUCUCUCUCUCUCUCUCUCUCUCCAUCUAGCUAACUACGCCUCUUCUCACGAAGAAGAAGAUCAAGAACAACCUACAAAACCCACAGCUUUGCCCUCAAAACCCAGUUCUUCCUCUUCCUCUCUGUUUUCUUCUCUACCCAAAUCCAAACCCCAACUUUCGUCUCUCUUCUAAUCCCUUUCUGCAACCUAAACAAACCCAAACAAAACCAUCUUUUCUGAAUAUGACAGCAUGUCUUGGCAUUAGGUGGCCAUUGUUUGAGCAUUUUGGUCCAAUUUUGGGGGGUUUUGAAGUCUGGGUUUACAUGCCCUCUUCAAGAACAGCUUCUCCAGAAAAUGAAUUGCUAAGAAUAUGUAAGUUUUGAUAUUAAAUUGAAUUUGAUUGCUAAAAUUGGAAUUGUGAUUGAUUUCGUCUGUAUUUUGUGUAGAAAGUGAAGUAUUGGGAUUGAUUUUGUUUGUCUGAAACAACAAAUGUGUUUGUUCUUUGUCGAUUGAUUCUUGCAUUUGGUAUUGGGAUUUUCAAUGAACUUAUAAUUAUAUCAUAGUGAGGUAGCAUUGUUGAUUUGCUAUUGCAAUCGUAUUGUGAUUUUAUUGCGAUUGUAUUGUAGUGGUAUUGCUUUUGUAUUGCUCUGGUAUUGCUGUUAUAUUGAUUUUUUUGGGUGUUUUAUUGAUAUGUUACUGUAAUUUAAUAGGAAUAUAUGUUGAUAUCAUUUUUCUUUAUCUGCUUGUGAUUUGAGUAGGAGUUGAGAUUAUUCUUGGCUGAAGUAUUAUUUACGAUCUCUCUCUCUCUCUCUCUCUCUCUCUCUCUCUCUGCUCUUCAUAUUUUUCUCAACAUUUAUGUGUUAAUUUAAUGCUUGGUAUUGUUUUGGAACCAUAAUCAUUGUCAAUCUCAUUGUUUCUUUAAAAGAUUGCUGUGAAAUUGUUACUUCAUUUUCUUCUUUCCUUUGUUUUAAGAUAUUUUUGUUUGGAGAAAAAGAACUCUGUUUUUGUAAUCUAAAAGACUAGGUACUCAUGGUGAGUGUUUUCUGAUCAACAAGAUCCAGACUUUAUGUAUGUCAAUUUACUACUUUUGCACUUAAACUUUGGCUGUCUAAAAUUUGAAAAGUCUUGUAUGCCAGCAGUGUAUCUAUGUCACACAUCUUGGGUAAGAGGUAUUCUUCAAUUGUGAUAGUUUGCUCUGUUGUACGUAUUCAAACUGCCUCAAAAUGUUUUCAUUGGUGUCUUGAGUUCAAUACCAACAAAAGUUUUUAAAUGACAAGAAAUUAUGAAAAGCUUAUACAUAACAGACAUAUAGUUGAACAUAGCUAGAGUGUAUAUUUAGAAGAUGUCAUUGUGCUUCAAAUUAGCAAAUUUGUGGGGUGAAAACACAAUGGUUGACAUGUCAUUCUGCAUUUGAUGAAAAUAAUUGAUGACUUUGUAUGGAAGUAUACUCAUUAAAUAUCUUAGAUUCUAUCAAUGAAUGAAAUAUUUGCCUUCGAGAGCUUCAUGUUUUUCGGUUUGUUUAUCUUAUAUUCUAUAAAUGAAUGAAAUAUUUUGGUAGAUUGGAGAGACUAGUCAGCUAGUGAAUUUUGGAUCAUGACUUUUGAAGGGGGACUAGGCUUGAGCAGCUGCAAGAGUAAAA
rnacentral:lncRNA from 1 species